rnacentral:rRNA from 1 species
ACUCCUACGGGAGGCAGCAGUGGGGAAUAUUGCACAAUGGGGGAAACCCUGAUGCAGCCAUGCCGCGUGUGUGAAGAAGGCCUUCGGGUUGUAAAGCACUUUCAGUAGGGAGGAAGGUAGUGUAGUUAACACCUGCAUUAUUUGACGUUACCUACAGAAGAAGCACCGGCUAACUCCGUGCCAGCAGCCGCGGUAAUACGGAGGGUGCGAGCGUUAAUCGGAAUUACUGGGCGUAAAGCGCAUGCAGGCGGCCUGUUAAGUCAGAUGUGAAAGCCCGGGGCUUAACCUCGGAAUUGCAUUUGAAACUGGCAGGCUAGAGUCUUGUAGAGGGGGGUAGAAUUUCAGGUGUAGCGGUGAAAUGCGUAGAGAUCUGAAGGAAUACCAGUGGCGAAGGCGGCCCCCUGGACAAAGACUGACGCUCAGAUGCGAAA